rnacentral:misc_RNA from 1 species
AACGAUAAUUUCGCGUUUUAAACGCCCACACGAGUAAUCAACUAUUUUUAAAAAAGAACAUUUUGUUAUGUAAAAUCAUUGGUAUGUAAUUUUCUAGUGUGUACAUUUAUGUACAUAUUAAGAUCACUGCAAUUAAAAAGUAAUUAAUAAUAUUUUAUUAAGUUACUCUCAAAAAAAUAAUUAAAUAACCUUUUUU